rnacentral:misc_RNA from 1 species
GAUGAAGAACGCAGCGAACUGCGAUAAGUAAUGUGAAUUGCAGAAUUCAGUGAAUCAUCGAGUCUUUGAACGCACAUUGCGCCCCCUGGCAUUCCGGGGGGCAUGCCUGUCCGAGCGUCAUUGCUGCCCUUCAAGCCCGGCUUGUGUGUUGGGUCGUCGUCCCCCCCGGGGGACGGGCCCGAAAGGCAGCGGCGGCACCGCGUCCGGUCCUCGAGCGUAUGGGGCUUUGUCACCCGCUCGAUUAGGGCCGGCCGGGCGCCAGCCGGCGUCUCCAACCUUCUAUUUUACCAGGUUGACCUCGGAUCAGGUAGGGAUACCCGCUGAACUUAAGCAUAUCAAUAGGCGGAGGA